GUGACCUGCAGCUUACAAUUGUAGAUGACCUGCAGCUUCCGAUGGUGGAUUGACUUAUGAUUAUUCAAAAUGGAAGCUUGGGACACAAAAUGGAGUCUGAGGAAUUUCACCGAUAUCAGAAUUCCCCCAGGGGUAAAGGAUUAUUGACCUUUGAAGGAGAUGCUAAAAUGAGAAGCCAUGACCAAGUUUUGUCAUAGACCAGGCUGUGCCCUGAGUGAUCCACAAGCUGGUUCUUCCUUAAAAUGCCUGCAAGGUGUGAUCAUCCUACAGUUCCCCUUUCAGGAAGAUGAUUGCUAUAUUGCACACCUCCACCCUACUCCCUACACUGACGUAUCACCCUUUGUGGUGUUUGAGGAGGGAGGAACUGAAGACAGACUCAGUAUUCGCUGGGCAGAAGAUGGCCCACUCUUCAGUUGAUCUGCCUGAGACUGUAAAGUUGGAGAUGAAGGAAAUCUCUGUCUCAAGGGAAAAGAAGCACAAACAUUUGCAUCAGCACAAUCCCAUUUUAUCACCUCUCAGGAAGAUCUGUAUCAAUCUGCUGCAUUGUAAGCUCUUUUGGCCAGAGACAUUGUAUGCUGCUCUUUAAAGCUCUGAUGACAUGAUAUAAAUUGGAAAGUAAAGA